AGUGAACGCUGGCGGUAGGCCUAACACAUGCAAGUCGAACGGCAGCACAGUAAGAGCUUGCUCUUACGGGUGGCGAGUGGCGGACGGGUGAGGAAUACAUCGGAAUCUACUUUUUCGUGGGGGAUAACGUAGGGAAACUUACGCUAAUACCGCAUACGACCUACGGGUGAAAGCAGGGGAUCUUCGGACCUUGCGCGAUUGAAUGAGCCGAUGUCGGAUUAGCUAGUUGGCGGGGUAAAGGCCCACCAAGGCGACGAUCCGUAGCUGGUCUGAGAGGAUGAUCAGCCACCCUGGAGCUGAGCCACGGUCCAGACUCCUACGGGAGGCAGCAGUGGGGAAUAUUGGACAAUGGGCGCAAGCCUGAUCCAGCCAUACCGCGUGGGUGAAGAAGGCCUUCGGGUUGUAAAGCCCUUUUGUUGGGAAAGAAAAGCAGCAGGUUAAUACCCCGCUGUUCUGACGGUACCCAAAGAAUAAGCACCGGCUAACUUCGUG
rnacentral:rRNA from 1 species